GAGUCGGCCUGCGCGGAAGAUGUAACGGGGCUAAACCAUGCACCGAAGCUGCGGCAGCGACACUGUGUGUUGUUGGGUAGGGGAGCGUUCUGUAAGCCUGUGAAGGUGUGCUGUGAGGCAUGCUGGAGGUAUCAGAAGUGCGAAUGCUGACAUAAGUAACGAUAAAGCGGGUGAAAAGCCCGCUCGCCGGAAGACCAAGGGUUCCUGUCCAACGUUAAUCGGGGCAGGGUGAGUCGACCCCUAAGGCGAGGCCGAAAGGCGUAGUCGAUGGGAAACAGGUUAAUAUUCCUGUACUUGGUGUUACUGCGAAGGGGGGACGGAGAAGGCUAUGUUGGCCGGGCGACGGUUGUCCCGGUUUAAGCGUGUAGGCUGGUUUUCCAGGCAAAUCCGGAAAAUCAAGGCUGAGGCGUGAUGACGAGGCACUACGGUGCUGAAGCAACAAAUGCCCUGCUUCCAGGAAAAGCCUCUAAGCAUCAGGUAACAUCAAAUCGUACCCCAAACCGACACAGGUGGUCAGGUAGAGAAUACCAAGGCGCUUGAGAGAACUCGGGUGAAGGAACUAGGCAAAAUGGUGCCGUAACUUCGGGAGAAGGCACGCUGAUAUGUAGGUGAAGUCCCUCGCGGAUGGAGCUGAAAUCAGUCGAAGAUACCAGCUGGCUGCAACUGUUUAUUAAAAACACAGCACUGUGCAAACACGAAAGUGGACGUAUACGGUGUGACGCCUGCCCGGUGCCGGAAGGUUAAUUGAUGGGGUCAGCGCAAGCGAAGCUCUUGAUCGAAGCCCCGGUAAACGGCGGCCGUAACUAUAACGGUCCUAAGGUAGCGAAAUUCCUUGUCGGGUAAGUUCCGACCUGCACGAAUGGCGUAAUGAUGGCCAGGCUGUCUCCACCCGAGACUCAGUGAAAUUGAACUCGCUGUGAAGAUGCAGUGUACCCGCGGCAAGACGGAAAGACCCCGUGAACCUUUACUAUAGCUUGACACUGAACAUUGAGCCUUGAUGUGUAGGAUAGGUGGGAGGCUUUGAAGUGUGGACGCCAGUCUGCAUGGAGCCGACCUUGAAAUACCACCCUUUAAUGUUUGAUGUUCUAACGUGGACCCGUGAUCCGGGUUGCGGACAGUGUCUGGUGGGUAGUUUGACUGGGGCGGUCUCCUCCUAAAGAGUAACGGAGGAGCACGAAGGUUGGCUAAUCCUGGUCGGACAUCAGGAGGUUAGUGCAAUGGCAUAAGCCAGCUUGACUGCGAGCGUGACGGCGCGAGCAGGUGCGAAAGCAGGUCAUAGUGAUCCGGUGGUUCUGAAUGGAAGGGCCAUCGCUCAACGGAUAAAAGGUACUCCGGGGAUAACAGGCUGAUACCGCCCAAGAGUUCAUAUCGACGGCGGUGUUUGGCACCUCGAUGUCGGCUCAUCACAUCCUGGGGCUGAAGUAGGUCCCAAGGGUAUGGCUGUUCGCCAUUUAAAGUGGUACGCGAGCUGGGUUUAGAACGUCGUGAGACAGUUCGGUCCCUAUCUGCCGUGGGCGCUGGAGAACUGAGGGGGGCUGCUCCUAGUACGAGAGGACCGGAGUGGACGCAUCACUGGUGUUCGGGUUGUCAUGCCAAUGGCACUGCCCGGUAGCUAAAUGCGGAAGAGAUAAGUGCUGAAAGCAUCUAAGCACGAAACUUGCCCCGAGAUGAGUUCUCCCUGACCCUUUAAGGGUCCUGAAGGAACGUUGAAGACGACGACGUUGAUAGGCCGGGUGUGUAAGCGCAGCGAUGCGUUGAGCUAACCGGUACUAAUGAACCGUGAGGCUUAACCUUACAACGCCGAAGGUGUUU
rnacentral:rRNA from 1 species